rnacentral:rRNA from 1 species
GGGGAAAAAUUUAUUGCUAUUAGAUGAGCCUAUAUUAGAUUAGCUGGUUGGUGGAGUAAUAGCCUACCAAGGCAAUGAUCUAUAGCUGAUCUGAGAGGAUGAUCAGCCACACUGGAACUGAGAUACGGUCCAGACUCCUACGGGAGGCAGCAGUGGGGAAUAUUGGACAAUGGGCGAAAGCCUGAUCCAGCCAUGCCGCAUGAGUGAAGAAGGCCUUUGGGUUGUAAAGCUCUUUUAGUGAGGAAGAUAAUGACGGUACUCACAGAAGAAGUCCUGGCUAACUCCGUGCCAGCAGCCGCGGUAAUACGGAGAGGGCUAGCGUUAUUCGGAAUUAUUGGGCGUAAAGGGCGCGUAGGCGGAUUAGUAAGUUAAAAGUGAAAUCCCAAGGCUCAACCUUGGAAUUGCUUUUAAAACUGCUAAUCUAGAGAUUGAAAGAGGAUAGAGGAAUUCCUAGUGUAGAGGUGAAAUUCGUAAAUGUUAGGAGGAACACCAGUGGCGAAGGCGUCUAUCUGGUUCAAAUCUGACGCUGAGGCGCGAAGGCGUGGGGAGCAAACAGGAUUAGAUACCCUGGUAGUCCACGCUGUAAACGAUGAAUGUUAAAUAUGGGAAGUUUUACUUUCUGUAUUACAGCUAACGCGUUAAACAUUCCGCCUGGGGACUACGGUCGCAAGAUUAAAACUCAAAGGAAUUGACG